CUGACUGGUCUAACAAGCCAAUGGAGGAUCAUUCUCUCAAGAAUGAAACAUUUCUGGCUGUGGCAGAGAGGUAUCUUGAAGAAAAUGGAUCUGAUGCUCUGGAGAAACUUAUUGCAAACAAGGUAUGUCAGACGUUACUUUCGCAAGGAGUAGCCAGUUCAUUAUCAAAUUGGACACACUUACUUUGAUGUACAUUAGUUAGUGACAUAAAAGUUGACACUGCUAAUCCAUAUCAGUAGCCAAAAGUUUGAUUGCCACGGUUACAAAAGCAAAUGUGUGACUACAUAUUCCACUGGAUUUUAUAGCAACUUCCUACUUAUCAUGAUGAAGCAGGAAAGCUUACCCCCAACCAGGUGCUUCAGCUGUUGUUUCUAGCUCUCUGUACUGUAUUAAACAACUUUUGACUUCUUGUGCUGCUGCUUUAUUGGCGUUUUCAUUCUAUAAUGAUUUGGAAAGUUUCAUCAGCAGUUGAAUACAAGUUAAAUGGUUUGCAUAUAUGUGAUAUUGUUUGGUAAUGCCAACAUCCCCCCUAUGGCGAUGCCCGGGUGAUGGGCUGGGGACAGGGGCUAAUUUACUAUGUAAAUUUCGGUGCACGUGAACCCAUGUAUAUCUGUAAAACUAGGUAUCUUAUGUAUAUAUUUUCUAGAAUUGAUAUAAUGUUAGCUGUUGGCACCUAUGCUCGAAAAGGAUGAAUGCACGUGGUUAAAUGUUGAGUUAUUUACCUAAAGGAUUAGGGAUCAAUUCCUACUUGCUACUUUUUUUUUAUGCUACUCUUUUUCCUUUUUUUUUUUAAGUGGUGCACCCAUGUUCUAGAAAUGCUAGAUCCGCCUAUUGCCGGGGAUGAGCUUUUGACAUGAUGGUGAGCGCUUGAUCCUAACAACUUGUAUAAGAGGCACAAUCAUGAGUUUGAUUCCUAGGAACAACAUGGUGCGUGUGGCAAGCAUUUUUUUCUGGGGGAGGGGAUUGGGUUGUUGGCUAAAACGAACAUCUUGCCUAUAGCGAGGCCCAGGACGGAGUCAUUAUCAAACAUGCAGUUGCUUAAUGGUCUGGGUUAAGAAAUAAAGUUGCGUUUUUGGUACUAGCUGUAGCUUUUGAUGUGAUGGUAUGUGCUUGAUCCUAACAAUGUUAUCAUGCUCUUAUUUUGGAGAUUUGCUUAUUUCCAGAAAAUCCGUGAAUGCUUUGUUUGCAUAGGUGUUGUGUACCUUCAAACCCCUAAACUAUUGUAUGUAUGUGAGAAGUAGGUUAUUGUACUGAUCAUUAUGCAGUUGUCGGUUUUCUCAAAUAAAGUAUCAAAAAGUCUUGAGUUUUCCUUUUGUUAACAAUAGAACUAAUUACUUGUUCGUUUGUGGUGAAUUUCAGAGGUGUGUCUAUUUCAGAGAACUAGUUUGGAUUCAUGCCGGGGCGCUCAACUACAGAAGCCAUUCAUAUUGUAAGGAGAUUGGUGGAGCAGUAUAGGGAGCGGAAGAGGGACUUGCACAUGGUAUUCAUUGACCUAGAAAAAGCCUACGACAAAGUGCCAAGAGAGGUCCUAUAGAGAUGCUUGGAGGCUAAAGGUGUACCUGUGGUGUACAUUAGAGCGAUAAAGGACAUGUAUGAUGGAGCUAAGACCAGGGUAAGGACGGUAGGAGGAGACUCGGAGCACUUUCCUGUUAUGAUGGGGUUGCAUCAGGGAUCAGCUCUUAGCCCGUUUCUAUUCGUCCUAGUGAUGGAUGAAUUGACGCGACAAAUACAAGGUGAGGUGCCUUGGUGUAUGUUGUUCGCGGAUGACAUAGUCCUGAUUGACGAGACUCGCAACGGAGUUAACGAUAAGCUGGAGGGCUGGAGACAGAUGUUGGAGUCUAAAGGAUUUUAGAUUGAGUAGGACUAAGACAGAAUACUUGUAGUGCAAGUUCAGUGGCCUACCGCGUGAGGCUGACGAGGAAGUGAGGCUUGGUACCCAGGCUAUUCAAAAGAAAGGAAGUUUCAAGUAUCUUGGGUCUAUUAUAUAGGGAAAUGGGGAUAUCGACGACGAUGUUUCACAUCGUAUUGGUGCAGGGUGGAUGAAAUGGAGGCUCGCCUCCGGAGUGCUGUGUGAUAAGAAAGUGCCACCAAAACUUAAAGGCAAGUUCUACAAAGUGGUGGUUAGAUCGACCUUACUGUACGGGACGGAGUGUUGGCCAGUCAAGAAAUCUCACGUUCAGAAGAUGAAAGUCGCGGAAAUGCGAAUGCUGCGGUGGAUGUGUGGGUACACUAGGAGGGAUAGAAUUAGGAAUGAAGAUAUUCGAGACAACGUGGGAGUGACAUCGGUGGAAGACAAGAUGCGGGAAGUGAGGCUGAGAUGGUUUGGACAUGUGAAGAGGAGAGACACAGAUGCCCCAGUGCGGAGGUGUGAGAGGUUGGCUAUGGACGGUUUCAGGAGAGGCAAAGGGAGGCCGAAGAAGUAUUGGGGAGAGGUGAUUAGACAGGAUAUGGCACAGUUUCAGCUCACCGAGGACAUGACAUUAGAUAGGAGGUUGUGGAGGACUCAGAUUAGGAUAGAAGGUUAGGUGACUAAUCCUUUCACCAUAGUAGUUGUAGUUUUACUCAUUUGUUUAUUGCCAUUUGAUUUCUGCAUUGGAUUGCUGCUUGUAUUUGUUGGGCUGUUGUACUUUGGUUAUCUUAGUUAUCUAUAGUAGUUAAUGCCCCUUUCUUUCCGAGCUGUUCAACCAUGACUUUCUCGCUUUUGUUAUUUCUUGUUUUCUUAUUGGUUUCGAUAUGCUUGGUCCUAUCUAACCUUUUGUCUUGUUUUUCAUCUCUUGUUCUCCUCUCUUGAGCCGAGGGUCUUUCGGAAACAGCUGCCCUACCUUUCAAGGUGAGGGUUAGGUCUGCGUACACUCUAUCCUCCCCAGACCCCACAUGGUGGGAUUAUACUGGGCUUCUUGUUGUUUGUGGUGAAUUUAUUUCUGUCUGUUCACAUGCGUUCUUUCCUUAAAAUCCCAUAACAAACAUAUUACCCCUAAUCCGAGAGAACGUGAAGGGAGUGGUCCUGUUUGGGAAGAUAUCAAAGUGAUGGAGCAUAUGGCAAAACAUGAAGCAGCUGAGACCAAACAGGGAUACCCAAUUCAGAUUGAGAAGAAAACGACAGGAGUGCAAAUCAAGGAAAUGGUAGUUCCAGCAGAUGCUGAAGAGAUUAAACUUCCAGAGAUUACUUCUUCAAAGCAAGUUCAGACAGAGUGGACUUGUGCAGUAUGCCAAGUGACAACCACCUCAGAGCAAAACUUGAAGUCCCCUCUUAACGGAAGGAAACAUAAGCAAGGUGUGAAGGGCUGAAAACUUGCAAGCAAACAACCAAAAGUGAAGGAAGCUCACCUCUUACAACAAAGUCAAAUCUGCUUAAUCAGGAGAAAGUCAAACGUGAAGCUGCAGCACGAUCAGAGAACAUUACUAAUGAAGUAGUUGGGCCCAAACAGGUUAAAACUGUGAAGGAAACUCCAAUUCAAAUUGAAAAGAAAACAACUGUUGUGCAGAUCAAGGAAACAGCGCUUCCAGCAGAUGCCGAGGAGAUUAAACUCCCAGAAACUAAUUCCGUAAAGAGAGUUCAGAUAGAGCGGACUUGUGCAGUAUGUCAAGUGAGAACUAAGUCAGAGCAUGACUUGAAGUACCAUCUUCUAGGGAGGAGACAUAGGGAAAAUUCUGAAGUGCUGAAAACUUUCAAGAAAACAACAAAAACUGAAAGAAACCCACCUUUUACUUCAAAUAUGCCAGACAAGCUUAAGAAGGAGCAAGUAAAACAUGCAAUUUCAACAAGAAAGUACAGUACUGAUGAAAAACCUAAAGAAAAGGUCUAACUAGGAGCUAUUGGACAACGUCAAAAGCAGAAGCAAGUGAAGAAUACUAGUGGUGCUCCUCAUUAUUCUAAGCUGUGGUGUAGUUUUUGUAACAUUGGUGCUCUGGCGAGAUUGAUAUGGCUUUGUUGGUAUUAGACCGUAAAGUGUUAUUAGAGCUUGUGGUUGUAUUUGGUUGUGUCAAUUGUCUAUUUGAAUGAUGGAGGCAAAUAUGAGCAAGAUGGUUUGUUUAAAUGGCAGUAAUUACCAUAUUUGGAAAAGCAAGAUGAAAAAUCUUCUAUUUGUCAAGAAAUUGCAUUUACCUGUGUUUGCUUCUAACAAACUCGAGUCUAUUGAAGAUGAGGAUUGGGAA